rnacentral:rRNA from 1 species
UAAGGAAUAUUGCUCAAUGGGAGAAAUCCUGAAGCAGCAACGCCGCGUGGAGGAUGAAGGGUCUAUGACUUGUAAACUCCUGUAAAGAAGGAAAAAAUUCCCAUUUGAUGGGAGAUGAUGGUACUUCUGGAGUAAGCCCCGGCUAACUACGUGCCAGCAGCCGCGGUAAUACGUAGGGGGCAAGCGUUGUCCGGAUUUACUGGGUGUAAAGGGUGCUCAGGCGGAUUUGUAAGUCAGAAGUGAAAUCUUACAGCUUAACUGUGAAACUGCCUUUGAUACUGCAAGCCUAGAGUAUGGAAGAGAGUGAUGGAAUAUCUGGUGUAGCAGUGAAAUGCGUAGAUAUCAGAUAGAACACCAAUGGCGAAGGCAGUCACUUGGUCCAUUACUGACGCUAAAGCACGAAAGCGUGGGUAGCAAACA